AGGUAAGCAAAUUUGUACUUGUUUACAUUUGCCAAUGACUUUAAUGUCAUUUCCACAAUUGAUUCUAAACCCAUAAUCAAUUCUUGGGAGAAGCUUUUGCAAGUAGCUUUUAUGUGUCAAAAUUGAUUAUGAGGAGAUAGAAGCUGAUCCAAACUUGGUAUUAAUUUAAGUAACCUUAUUAUGGUACAAAAAAUAUGUAAGAUGCAUUGUAAUCAUUUUGAGGCAUCUUACCUGCAUGCAUUGUACUCUUCCACCGUUGCUUGCAAUGGAGGUAAUGUCAGUGUUGGUCUUUCUAACUGGGAAGCCAGCCAUGGACUUGAGGCCAGUGAAUGGAGCCACCAUGUUGGCCUGUGCCGGGGAGGCACCAUUAAUGGUGGUGACGGCGGAGGAAGUGAUCAUAGAGGAAGCCAUUUCUUUCUCCUUUCUUAGUUCUCUAGUCAGAAAUACUUGCAAGUCUUGCACUCAAACAGGGUAUAUAUAAUGGUUUAGUUUUGAUAAUUUCUGAUGAAGUGGUCUGAAAUUGAGUGGAUUUGGAUGCUGCCUAAUUUCAACCAUUGGAUUGUGAAAUGAUAAACAUUGCAGCAUAUAAACCACACGAGAGUGGGGGGUUUUUAUUGUAAAAUUUACACUUGAAAAUCAUCACCAUAAACACCACUAUUUUUUUUCUUCUUUGGAGUCAUUUUAUUCUUACUCAACAUUUGUGCAACUUCUGAUAAAGUGAUAUAAUGGAAAAAGAUAAGUAGAAAAAUAAGUUGUAAAAUAGUGUAGAGAAAAUAAAAAAGAGUGGAAACGAUAUAUUUUAUUCUUUCUGAAAUGAUUACAUUUUAUUUUCUCAAUUCUUCCCCUUUUGUUUGUUGGAUUUCCAUUUUCAAAAGUACAAGUCAUGUAGCUAAAUGAACCUCUUAUCUUUUUCUUUAUCUCAGUGCAACGUUUCCCACAAGUGUAGCUAUCAGAAGGGUCCGGUAUUCACAAACCCCACAACCACUAAAUGAUUAGCCAAUUAGUAAUCCAUGACUACCAGCAGGAAUAAGCUCCAAACAAAAUCACAUAAUGGACUCUAGACUAGUUAUCAGCCAAUAAUCAGAUUCUAACCAAGAUUGGAAUUUUGAUGUUUAAAAAAAGUUUGUUUUAUUUCUUACUUUUGGUCUUUGAUAGGUGUCCACACCCUCUUCGAGAACAAGACUAAUUUCGCUUAGGAAGCUGUGACAGUCCCUCACAACGGAUGACUUUCUUGGAGUUUGAAUUUGUGUCAUCACCCUUACAGGAGCCUACCUUGCCUACGACUACUCUAACACCCUGUUGGUAAAUUUGUUUUAUUUUGAUAGUAAGAUAACUUGUUAAAAUCCAACUAAUUAUAUUUGGCUCUAUGUUGAAUUGAGAUUCAUUUAGCCGUUACAGAACAACAAUUAUGGUUUGUAAGUAGCAGAAAGGUCAGUGAAGAAAAGCCUCCAACAAAGUGCUAUACUGGAUUAGCAUGUGUUUAGUUAUCUUUGCAGCUUUGCAUGAAUCAAUCAAAGGUAUAGCAAAUUGGUCAGGCAAAUGUUGAGUGCAAAAGUUGUAAUUUUUUUGUAACAGAAGCUCUGCAAAUAUAUUUGUUUCCAAGGAUACCGUGAAUUUCUAUUUGGUAUUGAAAGUUCAGUAGCUACAUGGCCAACAGAAGUACAGUUGAAGUAUGCUUCAUGUCUGGUUAAAAUCCUAUAAAAGGGUCAAAAGUUAUAGCUAUUAGGUACUAGCUAGCAACCAACACUUCAAAAGAUAGACAGAAACUAUGUGAACUUAAAUGUCCAUUUAUCUAAGCAUUUUGCUCAUUGUGUUUGGCUUAUAACUUCUUAUGUUCUUUAACAAAACUCCAUUUUACCUUUGUAGUAGGCAUGAAGAAUAAACACCUCAAACAUUCAUUGCAAUGUGAACAGACUUUUUUUCGGACAGUAAGAAGAGUUCUAUUUAUUUUUUAUCUAGAAGUACGAGCGAGGAUCUGUGCUUAUCAAAAAAAAAAAAAACUAGGAUCUGUUUCCACUAAUGCAAACAGAUAACUUGACACAUCAUAGUUCAAUUGUGUAAUUGGUCAUAGACAUUUUGACUUAACAAUGACAUUUAUAAACACACCUAUUCAGAACAUCCAUUUGUGUGAGGCUGUUUUAUAUAUCUGAUACUUUGCCUUAAUAUCAUACUGUUAUUUCCUUUGUUCGUAAUCAUUGCAAACCCACUAGAAGGAAAACCACAGAUAAUGUGUUCUUAAGAAAUUUGGAAACAAGAAAAUUAUUCAUUCAUGAGCUCUUAUACAUUCAUUUGCAUAUGCAAAUGUGAAACUGAACAAAAGAUGCCAAAAUAUAGGAUGGCAAAGAAAAAGAAAAAACUGAACACAAGGCCUUUUUGUAUGAAGAUUUCAAACUUAGUAGCCUGCAGGCCUGUGAGCAAUGAAGCUGAUGCACUGCACUUGGCGAACGUUGUCGAAUCCGAUGAUGCGAACGAAAGCAUUGGGGUAUGCCUUCACAGCCUCAUCAAGCUCCUUCAACACCUGAGCAGCAUCACUGCAGCCAAACAUGGGCAGCUUCCACAUGGUCCAGUACCGUCCGUCAUAGUAUCCCGGUGACUUGUGGUUCUCACGGUAAACAAAGCCUUUCUGCACAUACAAAAUGCAGCAAACAGAUCAUCAACUAUCAAAGCUAAAAGUUAUAUUAGCAAGUUUAGAUUGGUUUGGUUCUGGCACACAAUUUAAAGUAUGGUAACUCUAGAAGCUGCAAUUUGUAGCUUUGCAGCUUCUGCCAGAAAUUGAUUAUGGGGCUUCCCGCCGCAGAACCAAACAAACUCAUAAUGAAAAUCUAGAAUGUAAAGAACCAAAGGUUGGCCUACUGGAGGUAAAUUUAUCUCCGACUCAAAUUCCAAGAAAGGAAUCAACCAUCAAAGCUCAUAAUAUAUGUAUAUCAUGUUUAAAUCGGUGGUGACACAAGUUUAAAUCACGAUACUUUUAGCGUGUUUGGUUCUGUGUUGAGAAGUAUCCUAAUCAUUUAUAGUGAGAAGCUACAAAAUGCAGCUUCUUAACGUAUCAUGUUUUGGAUUGUAUGCCAUCACUUAGCCAUACCUGCUACUUGCAGCUUCUCCCAAGAAGUGAUUAUGUGACUUAUUACCGCAGAACCAAACACGCUUAUAAUGAAAAACUACAAAGUACAAAGUAAAGAACCAAAGGGUUGGAAGAGAAUUGACCUCUGUCUCAAAUUCCAAGCAAGGAACCCACCCCUUCCUAAGAAGGUAUUCAACUUCCUUUAACAGUUGCUCUGUGGUGAGUGGUGGCAGGUAUGAAAGAGUCUCGAACUUCUUCUUGCCAACAGGAGGCCACACCUAGUAGUAUGCAUAAGAUUGAGUAAAGUGGUUAAUAAAUUUGUACUUGUUCACAUUUGCUAAUGACUUUAAUGUCAUUUAGUACAUCUUUGGAAACUAUCCCACAUUCAAUUAUUGGAAGUUUUUGUGAGUAACUUCAAGUGUCAGAAUGGAUUAUGAUGAAAUACUGUCUUAAUCAAAUGUUAUUAUUUUAUAUAGUACAAAAACAUGUAGCAUUAUCAUUGUAAUCAUCUUGAUGCUUCUUACCUGCAUGCAUUGUACUCUUCCACCGUUGUUUGCAAUGGAGGUAAUGUCAUUGUUUGUCUUUCUAACUGGGAAGCCAGCCAUGGACUUGAG
rnacentral:lncRNA from 1 species